rnacentral:rRNA from 1 species
AUUGAACGCUGGCGGCAGGCCUAACACAUGCAAGUCGAACGAGCGGCGGACGGGUGAGUAAUGUAUGGGGAUCUGCCUGAUAGAGGGGGAUAACUACUGGAAACGGUGGCUAAUACCGCAUACUAUCGGAUGUACCCAUAUGGGAUUAGCUAGUGGGUGGGGUAACGGCUCACCUAGGCGACGAUCCCUAGCUGGUCUGAGAGGAUGAUCAGCAACACUGGAACUGAGACACGGCCCAGACUCCUACGGGAGGCAGCAGUGGGGAAUAUUGCACAAUGGGCGCAAGCCUGAUGCAGCCAUGCCGCGUGUAUGAAGAAGGCCUUAGGGUUGUAAAGUACUUUCAGCGGGGAGGCGUUACCCGCAGAAGAAGCACCGGCUAACUCCGUGCCAGCCGCCGCGGUAAUAC